AAGUCGUAACAAGGUCUCCGUUGGUGAACCAGCGGAGGGAUCAUUACAGAGUCUCCGAACUCCAAACCUUUGUGAACAUACCACCGUUGCUUCGGCGGGACCCCCCGGGACGGGCACUGCACGCCCCGGGCGCCCGCCGAGGGCCCCAAACCAUCUUAUCCACAGUGGACUCUUCAGAGUUUGAUAUACAAUCAAUCAAAACUUUCAGCAACGGAUCUCUUGGCUCUGGCAUCGAUGAAGAACGCAGCAAAAUGCGAUAAGUAAUGUGAAUUGCAGAAUUCAGUGAAUCAUCGAAUCUUUGAACGCACAUUGCGCCCGCCAGCAUCCUGGCGGGCAUGCCUGUCCGAGCGUCAUUUCAACCCUCAGGGCCCGUCCGCGGGACCUGGCGUUGGGGAUCGGCCGCGCCCACCGAGGCCGGCCGGCCCUGAAAUGCAGUGGCGGUCACGUCGCGACCUCCCCCGCGUAGUAACUCACCUCGCGGCGGGAAGGCGGCGCGGCCACGCCGUGAAACCCCCUACUUCUCAAGGUUGACCUCGGAUCAGGUAGGAAUACCCGCUGAACUUAA
rnacentral:rRNA from 1 species